UACAGAGGGGGCAAGCGUUGUUCGGAAUUACUGGGCGUAAAGCGCGUGUAGGCGGCCAGAUAGGUCUGCUGUGAAAACUCGAGGCUCAACCUCGAGCUGUCGGCGGAAACCAUCUGGCUAGAGUCCGGAAGAGGAGAGUGGAAUUCCAGGUGUAGCGGUGAAAUGCGUAGAUAUCUGGAGGAACACCGGUGGCGAAGGCGGCAUCCUGGACCGACACUGACACUGAGGAGCGAAAGCCAGGGGAGCAAACGGG
rnacentral:rRNA from 1 species